rnacentral:rRNA from 1 species
AACGAACGCUGGCGGCAUGCCUAACACAUGCAAGUCGAACGAGACCUUCGGGUCUAGUGGCGCACGGGUGCGUAACGCGUGGGAACCUGCCCUUAGGUUCGGAAUAACUCCCCGAAAGGGGUGCUAAUACCGGAUAAUGUCUUCGGACCAAAGAUUUAUCGCCUUUGGAUGGGCCCGCGUUGGAUUAGCUAGUUGGUAGGGUAAAAGCCUACCAAGGCGACGAUCCAUAGCUGGUCUGAGAGGAUGAUCAGCCACACUGGGACUGAGACACGGCCCAGACUCCUACGGGGGGCAGCAGUGGGGAAUAUUGGACAAUGGGCGAAAGCCUGAUCCAGCAAUGCCGCGUGAGUGAUGAAGGCCUUAGGGGUGUAAAGCUCUUUUACCCGGGAUGAUAAUGACAGUACCGGGAGAAUAAGCUCCGGCUAACUCCG